AUACGGAGGGUGCAAGCGUUGUUCGGGAUUACUGGGCGUAAAGCGCGCGUAGGUGGUCUGUUAUGUCAGAUGUGAAAGUCCACGGCUCAACCGUGGAAGUGCAUUUGAAACUGGCAGACUUGAGUACUGGAGGGGGUAGUGGAAUUCCCGGUGUAGAGGUGAAAUUCGUAGAUAUCGGGAGGAAUACCGGUGGCGAAGGCGACUACCUGGCCAGAUACUGACACUGAGGUGCGAAAGCGUGGGGAGCAAACAGGAUUAGAAACCCUUGUAGUCC
rnacentral:rRNA from 1 species